UACGUAGGGUGCAAGCGUUGCCCGGAUUUAUUGGGCGUAAAGGGCGCGUAGGCGGCUCUGCACGUUCGUUGUGAAAUCGCCCGGCUCAACUGGGCGGGGUCAGCGGAUACGGCAGAGCUUGAGCAAGCUAGGGGGCAAUGGAAUUCCUGGUGUAGCGGUGGAAUGCGCAGAUAUCAGGAGGAACACCGAUGGCGAAGGCAGCCCCCUGGGCCAAAACUGACGCUCAGGCACGAAAGCGUGGGGAGCAAACAGG
rnacentral:rRNA from 1 species